rnacentral:rRNA from 1 species
GACAGAGGUGCCGAGCGUUCGGCGGAAUCACUGGGCUUAAAGCGUGUGUAGGCGGACUUCUAAGUACCUUGUGAAAUCCCACGGCUUAACCGUGGAACUGCUUGGUAUACUGGUUGUCUUGGGCCAUCUAGGGGCUACUGGAACAAACGGUGGAGCGGUGAAAUGCGUAGAUAUCGUUUGGAACGCCAAUGGUGAAAACAAGUAGCUGGGGAUGUGCCGACGCUGAGACACGAAAGCCAGGGGAGCGAAUGGG